GAUGAAGAACGCAGUGAAAUGCGAUAAGUAGUGUGAAUUGCAGAAUUCAGUGAAUCAUCGAAUCUUUGAACGCACAUUGCGCCCCAUGGUAUUCCGUGGGGCAUGCCUGUUCGAGCGUCAUUUACCCCCUCAAGCUCCGCUUGGUGUUGGGCGUCUGUCCCGCUUCGCGCGCGGACUCGCCCCAAAGGUAUUGGCAGCGGUCGUGCCAGCUUCUCGCGCAGCACAUUGCGCUUCUCGAGGCACCGGUGGGCCCGCGUCCAUCAAGCUCACCCCCCCAGUUUGACCUCGGAUCAGGUAGGGAUACCCGCUGAACUUAAACAUAUCAAUAAGCGGAGGA
rnacentral:misc_RNA from 1 species